AUGAACGCUGGCGGCGUGCCUCAUACAUGCAAGUCGAGCGAACAGACGAGGAGCUUGCUCCUCUGACGUUAGCGGCGGACGGGUGAGUAACACGUGGAUAACCUACCUAUAAGACUGGGAUAACUUCGGGAAACCGGAGCUAAUACCGGAUAAUAUAUUGAACCGCAUGGUUCAAUAGUGAAAGACGGUUUUGCUGUCACUUAUAGAUGGAUCCGCGCCGCAUUAGCUAGUUGGUAAGGUAACGGCUUACCAAGGCGACGAUGCGUAGCCGACCUGAGAGGGUGAUCGGCCACACUGGAACUGAGACACGGUCCAGACUCCUACGGGAGGCAGCAGUAGGGAAUCUUCCGCAAUGGGCGAAAGCCUGACGGAGCAACGCCGCGUGAGUGAUGAAGGUCUUCGGAUCGUAACACUCUGUUAUUAGGGAAGAACAAAUGUGUAAGUAACUAUGCACGUCUUGACGGUACCUAAUCAGAAAGCCACGGCUAACUACGUG
rnacentral:rRNA from 1 species